rnacentral:rRNA from 1 species
CUACGGGCGGCUCCAGUGGGGGAUAUUGCACAAUGGGCGCAAGCCUGAUGCAGCAACGCCGCGUGCGGGAAGACGGCCUUCGGGUUGUAAACCGCUGUCCUUGGUGAAGAAACAAAUGACGGUAACCAUGGAGGAAGCCACGGCUAGCUACGUGCCAGCAGCCGCGGUAAUACGUAGGUGGCAAGCGUUGUCCGGAUUUACUGGGUGUAAAGGGGGCGCAGGCGGGUCUGCAAGUUGGAUGUGAAAUACCGGAGCUCAACGCCGGAGCUGCAUCCAAAACUGUAGAUCUUGAGUGGAGUAGAGGCAAGCGGAAUUCCGAGUGUAGCGGUGAAAUGCGUAGAUAUUCGGAGGAACACCAGUGGCGAAGGCGGCUUGCUGGGCUCUAACUGACGCUGAGGCCCGAAAGCGUGGGGAGCAAACAGGAUUAGAUACCCGAGUAGUC